GGCUCUAUAGUGUAGUGGUUAGAACGUCUGCUUUACAUGCAGAAAGUCCUCGGUUCACACCCGAGUGGAGCCA
rnacentral:tRNA from 1 species